GGCAAGGGGGGCUCUGUCUGGAGUCUCAGAGGGACAGCAGCCUUGAUUUUGGACUUCUUGCCUCCAGAAAUUGGCAAGAAUUUCCAAGGCAUCUCAUCAACAACUUCUGAUAAAUGAGGAAGUGGAGGCUGAAUUGUAGUUCCACAGCAUCGGGAGCCAGAAGCGAGGUGGGAAUCCAAGUCUUCCAGAUUCCCAGCUCCGUGAUUCGUGCCUGUCACAAAUUUGGGACCAAAAGACACCUGU
rnacentral:lncRNA from 1 species